rnacentral:rRNA from 1 species
CUCCUACGGGAGGCAGCAGUGGGGAAUUUUCCACAAUGGGCGAAAGCCUGAUGGAGCAAUACCGCGUGAGGGAUGAAGUAUCGUGGUACGUAAACCUCUUUUCUUGACGAAGAAGUUCUGACGGUAGUCAAGGAAUAAGCACCGGCUAACUCCGUGCCAGCAGCCGCGGUAACACGGGGGGUGCAAGCGUUGUCCGGAAUGAUUGGGCGUAAAGCAUCUGUAGGUGGUUUUUAAAGUCGACUGUUAAAGCCCAGGGCUCAACUUUGGAAAAGCGGUCGAGUACUUAAGGACUUGAGUAUGGUAGGGGUAGAGGGAAUUCCUAGUGGAGCGGUGAAAUGCACAGAGAUUAGGAAGAACACCAAGGGCGAAAGCACUCUACUGGGCCAUGACUGACACUGAGAGAUGAAAGUCGGGGGAGCGAAAAGGAUUAGAUACCCUUGUAGUCCCGACCGUAAACGAUGGAUACUAAGUGCUGACAAAAUCAGUGCUGUAGCUAACGCGUUAAGUAUCCCGCCUGGGGAGUAUGCUCGCAAGAGUGAAACUCAAAGGAAUUGACGGGAACUGGCACAAGCGGUGGAUCAUGCGGUUUAAUUCGAUAUACACGAAGAACCUUACCAGGGAUUGACAUGUUCAGAACUUUUGAGAGAUUGAAAGGUGCCUGUAUCUUUGAUAUAGGAGCUGAAACACAGGUGGUGCAUGGCUGUCGUCAGCUCGUGCCGUGAGGUGUCGAGUUAAGUCUUUAAACGAGCGCAACCCUUGUCUUUUGUUACCACUUUUUUGCGUUCUGCGCAGAUUAGGCCUCAAAAGAGACUGCCGGUGUAAACCGGAGGAAGGAGAGGAUGACGUCAAGUCAGCAUGCCCCUUACAUCCUGGGCUACACGCGUAAUACAAUGGCAAGGACAAUAGGACGCGAACCCGUGAGGGGGAGCGAAUCUAGUAAACUUUGUCUCAGUUCGGAUUGAAGUCUGCAACUCGACUUCAUGAAGCCGGAAUCGCUAGUAAUCGCCGGUCAGCUAUACGGCGGUGAAUACGUUCCCCAGUUUUGUACACACCGCCCGUCACAUGCUGGGAGCCAUCUUGUCCCGAAGACAGGUUGCCAACCUUUUUAAGGAAGCGAAUGUCAACGGUUGGGUUGGUCCCUAAUAUGAAGUCGGAACAAGGUAUCCGUACUGGAAGGUGUGGAUG